rnacentral:rRNA from 1 species
CAUCUGACCUCAAAUCA